rnacentral:rRNA from 1 species
GGUGAAUCUAGUGUCGAGAAAAGCCUUCUAUGUGUUGAAUUUCUAGUACCCGUACCCCAAACCGACACAGGUGGGUGGGUAGAGCAUACCUAGGGGCGCGUGAUAACUCUCUCUAAGGAACUCGGCAAAAUGGCCCUGUAACUUCGGGAUAAGGGGUGCCUGCGUGAGCAGGCCGCAGUGAAAUGGCUCUGGCGACUGUUUACCAAAAACACAGGUCUCUGCUAAGUCAUAAGACGAUGUAUAGGGGCUGACUCCUGCCCAGUGCCGGAAGGUUAAGGAAGUUGGUUAGCGCAAGCGAAGCUGGCGACCGAAGCCCCGGUGAACGGCGGCCGUAACAAUAACGGCCCUAAGGUAGCGAAAUUCCUUGUCGGGUAAGUUCCGACCCGCACGAAAGGAGUAACGAUCAGAGCGCUGUCUCGGAGAGAGACACGGCGAAAUAGGAUUGUCCGUGAAGAUACGGACUACCUGCACCCGGACAGAAAGACCCUAUGAAGCUUUACUGUAACUUGGAAUUGUGUUCGGACUUUGUCUGCGCAGAAUAGGUGGGAGGCUAUGAAACGUUCCUCGCGGGGAACUGGAGCCAUCGUUGAGAUACCACUCUGGCAGAGUCUGGAUUCUAACCUACGGGGACAGUUCCAGGUGGGCAGUUUGACUGGGGCGGUCGCCUCCUAAAAUGUAACGGAGGCGCGCAAAGGUUCCCUCAGGCUGGUUGGAAAUCAGCCAUAGAGUGUAAAAGCAUAAGGGAGCUUGACUGUGAGACCUACAAGUCGAGCAGGGACGAAAGUCGGCUUUAGUGAUCCGACGGCACUGAGUGGAAGGGCCGUCGCUCAACGGAUAAAAGUUACUCUAAGGAUAACAGGCUGAUCUCCCCCAAGAGUUCGCAUCGACGGGGGGGUUUGGCACCUCGAUGUCGGCUCGUCGCAACCUGGGGCGGUAGUACGUCCCAAGGGUUGGGCUGUUCGCCCAUUAAAGCGGCACGUGAGCUGGGUUCAGAACGUCGUGAGACAGUUCGGUCCAUAUCCGGUGUAGGCGUAGGAGCAUUGAAAGGAUCUCUCCUUAGUACGAGAGGACCGGGAGGGACGUACCUCUGGUGUACCUGUUAUCGUGCCAACGGUAAACGCAGGGUAGCCAUGUACGGAGUGGAUAACCGCUGAAAGCAUCUAAGUGGGAAGCCCACCUUAAGAUGAGUGCUCCCUUGAGGCCACGGGAAGACGACCCGUUUGAUAGGCGCUAGGUGGAAGUGCAGUAAUGCAUGCAGCCGAGGCGUACUAAUAGGCCGAUGGCUUGUCCA